rnacentral:rRNA from 1 species
UGGGGAAUAUUGGACAAUGGGCGCAAGCCUGAUCCAGCCAUACCGCGUGGGUGAAGAAGGCCUUCGGGUUGUAAAGCCCUUUUGUUGGGAAAGAAAUCCAGCUGGUUAAUACCCGGUUGGGAUGACGGUACCCAAAGAAUAAGCACCGGCUAACUUCGUGCCAGCAGCCGCGGUAAUACGAAGGGUGCAAGCGUUACUCGGAAUUACUGGGCGUAAAGCGUGCGUAGGUGGUCGUUUAAGUCUGUUGUGAAAGCCCUGGGCUCAACCUGGGAACUGCAGUGGAAACUGGACGACUAGAGUGUGGUAGAGGGUAGCGGAAUUCCUGGUGUAGCAGUGAAAUGCGUAGAGAUCAGGAGGAACAUCCAUGGCGAAGGCAGCUACCUGGACCAACACUGACACUGAGGCACGAAAGCGUGGGGAGCAAACAGGAUUAGAUACCCUGGUAGUCCACGCCCUAAAACGAUGCGAACUGGAUGUUGGGUGCAAUUUGGCACGCAGUAUCGAAGCUAACGCGUUAAGUUCGCCGCCUGGGGAGUACGGUCGCAAGACUGAAACUUAAAUGAAUUGACGGGGUCAUAGCUGUUUCCG